UACAGAGGUCCCAAGCGUUGUUCGGAUUCACUGGGCGUAAAGGGUGCGUAGGUGGUCGGGUCAGUCUGAGGUGAAAAUCUCCGAGCUUAACUCGGAACUGCCUUGGAUACUAUUCGGCUGGAGGGUUGGAGGGGGGGACUGGAAUUCUCGGUGUAGCAGUGAAAUGCGUAGAUAUCGAGAGGAACACCAGUGGCGAAGGCGAGUCCCUGGACAGGUCCUGACGCUGAGGCACGAAAGCUAGGGGAGCAAACAGG
rnacentral:rRNA from 1 species